rnacentral:pre_miRNA from 1 species
GGAUAUCAUCGUAUACUGUAAGUUGGCUAUGAGACACUACAGUAUAGAUGAUGUACUCCCCGGGCUG